rnacentral:rRNA from 1 species
GACGAACGCUGGCGGCGUGCUUAACACAUGCAAGUCGGGCGGAAAGGCCCUUUCGGGGGUACUCGAGCGGCGAACGGGUAAGUAACACGUGAGUAAUCUGCCCCUGGCUUUGGGAUAGCCACCGGAAACGGUGAUUAAUACCGGAUACGACCACUUCUCGCAUGGGAUGGUGGUGGAAAGUUUUUCGGCCAGGGAUGUGCUCGCGGCCUAUCAGCUUGAUGGUGAGGUAAUGGCUCACCAUGGCUUCGACGGGUAGCCGGCCUGAGAGGGUGACCGGUCACACUGGGACUGAGACACGGCCCAGACUCCUACGGGAGGCAGCAGUGGGGAAUAUUGGACAAUGGGCGGAAGCCUGAUCCAGCAACGCCGCGUGAGGGAUGACGGCCUUCGGGUUGUAAACCUCUUUCAGCAGGGACGAAGCGCAAGUGACGGUACCUGCAGAAGAAGCACCGGCCAACUACGUGCCAGCAGCCGCGGUAA